CACUGAGUUUUAAAGGGCCGUGGUAUACUGACCAUGCGAAGGUAGCAUAAUCAUUUGCCUCUUAAUUAGGGGCUGGAAUGAAAGGUUGGACGAGAAACUGGCUGUCUCUUUUAAUUAUUUGAAUUUAAUUAUUUGGUGAAAAAGCUAAAAUAGUCUUGGAGGACGAUAAGACCCUAUAGAUCUUUAUAGAUUAGACUUUAAUUCUUUAGGUGUUAGUGAUUUAAAGCAAACUCUAUUUUGUUGGGGCGACAUUGAGUGAUGAAAUAUCUCUCAUAAUGAAAGUACAAUAAUAAUUGAUCUAUGAUCCUUUAAUGAAUUAAGAUAAAGUUACCUUAGGGAUAACAGCGUAAUUUUUUUUGAGAGUUCUUAUCGACAAAAGAGUUUGCGACCUCGAUGUUGGUUCAGGAUUCCUUUUAGGCGCAGUAGCUUAAUAAGGUAGUCUGUUCGACUAUUAAAUUCCUACGUGAUCUGUUCCAGACCGGAACUAUUAAAGGUUCGUUUGUUCAACGAUUAAAGUCCUACGUGAUCUGAUUCAGAC
rnacentral:rRNA from 1 species